CCGGUUCCGGUUCACGCUCCCGCACCGCACCCGUGGGCAAGACGGCAGCGACCCGGCGACA
rfam:Nocardioides dokdonensis FR1436, complete genome.